rnacentral:rRNA from 1 species
UACGGAGGGUGCGAGCGUUGUCCGGAAUCAUUGGGCGUAAAGGGCGCGUAGGUGGCGGGACAAGCGUGCGGUGAAAGCUCGGGGCUCAACCCCGGAACUGCCUUUGAGACUGGAAGGCUUGAUCGUCGGAGAGGUGAGUGGAAUUCCGAGUGUAGAGGUGAAAUUCGUAGAUAUUCGGAAGAACACCAGUGGCGAAGGCGGCUCACUGGACGACUGAUGACGCUGAGGUGCGAAAGCGUGGGGAGCAAACAGG